rnacentral:lncRNA from 1 species
AGUUCUUGAGGCAGCUAUUAUCGAAAAUAAUGGAUUUGGCACUUGUGAUGAUUCCUGAGGCUGAAUCUGGACUCAGCAAGAAAGAGUGCCAUGAUUGAUUAGCCAUGUCUGCCAUUAGCUCAAAACUAGGGACAGAUCCUGCCAGAUACUUGCUGACAACAGCUUAGAAGUUUCCCUUGGCCAUACAAACCUUCUUAAAGGACUGACUGUUAGCAGUAAUGGAAAAUUCAGAUGGAUUACUGAUGCCACCCCUGGAGAGGUUCCUGAAUUCUGCUCAACACAAAAUCACCAUGAUUGGUAAACACUUUAAUAAGCUCACUGAAGCUUAAUGACUUCAAUUGUUCUCAUCAUUGCAUAUGUCCCUAACAGCACUCUAAUUUCAUAACUUUUACAAUUGUAGCAAAAAUAAUUAUUUUCAGUUUCAAGAUUGUGAUCCUCUGCUGGGAGCAAAAACUAUGAGCAGAUUAAGCACAAUCUACCUGCCUGCCAAUAUUUUGAAAGACUUAAAACUCUACUCUAUAAAUUAG